rnacentral:rRNA from 1 species
GGGGAAUAUUGGACAAUGGGGGCAACCCUGAUCCAGCCAUGCCGCGUGUGUGAAGAAGGCUUUCGGGUUGUAAAGCACUUUCAGUGAGGAAGAAGGCCUUGGGGCUAAUACCCCCGAGGAAGGACAUCACGCACAGAAGAAGCACCGGCUAACUCCGUGCCAGCAGCCGCGGUAAUACGGAGGGUGCGAGCGUUAAUCGGAAUUACUGGGCGUAAAGCGCGCGUAGGCGGCGUGAUAAGCCGGUUGUGAAAGCCCCGGGCUCAACCUGGGAACGGCAUCCGGAACUGUCAGGCUAGAGUGCAGGAGAGGAAGGUAGAAUUCCCGGUGUAGCGGUGAAAUGCGUAGAGAUCGGGAGGAAUACCAGUGGCGAAGGCGGCCUUCUGGACUGACACUGACGCUGAGGUGCGAAAGCGUGGGUAGCAAA